UGGGGAAUAUUGCACAAUGGGGGAAACCCUGAUGCAGCAACGCCGCGUGAGUGAAGAAGUAUUUCGGUAUGUAAAGCUCUAUCAGCAGGGAAGAAAAUGACGGUACCUGACUAAGAAGCCCCGGCUAACUACGUGCCAGCAGCCGCGGUAAUACGUAGGGGGCAAGCGUUAUCCGGAUUUACUGGGUGUAAAGGGAGCGUAGACGGCGCUGCAAGUCUGAAGUGAAAGCCCGGGGCUCAACCCCGGGACUGCUUUGGAAACUGUAAUGCUAGAGUGCUGGAGAGGUAAGUGGAAUUCCUAGUGUAGCGGUGAAAUGCGUAGAUAUUAGGAGGAACACCAGUGGCGAAGGCGGCUUACUGGACAGUAACUGACGUUGAGGCUCGAAAGCGUGGGGAGCAAACAGGAUUAGAUACCC
rnacentral:rRNA from 1 species